rnacentral:tRNA from 1 species
GGAUGAGUGGCCGAGGGGUCUAAGGCGUCUGACUCAAGUUCAGAUCUCGCAAGAGGCGCGAGUUCGAAUCUCGUCUCAUUCA